rnacentral:rRNA from 1 species
GGCGAAUGAACAAAGACAUAUCAUUUUGAAAAUUGUGGUCCGUGAUCAUGAAUUGUAAUAUUCAAAAUGCAUUGCUAACAAAAUUGCAUAUGUUAUUUUAUUGGAAAGAACAUUACAAAGGGUGAAAAUCCCAUGUGUCAUGUGUAUGUUUUGUGUACAGUGUGCAUUUCAUGAUUCACAUUCAUUGACAAUUGAAUGUAAAGCGAAUGGUAAACUUCAUUUAAACAUAAAUAUGUUGUUGAAAACUUAUAUCGAACAAAUACCAUGAGGGAAAUGUGAAAAGGAUUUUGAAAAGAAAAUUAAAAGAGCUUACAAUUGCUGGAUUGAUAAGCAAACAAAACACACAUGUGUAUGUGCAAGAUUGUUGUCAUGUUGUGCAAUUCAUGCAAAUUAACAUUGCUUUGGUUUUUGUGUAAUUUUGUCAGCUUUGGAAUUGAAAAUGAUUUUUUUGAGUGUGAAUGGAUUGUUGUUUGUUAACAAAGGAAUGCACUUUCAAAAUCAUUGUUUGAUUUGUCAAUCAAGUUUGUGGCGUGUGUUGUGUGUCAAAUUUAAUUAUAUAAUUCACAAAACACAUGAAGUUUGAGCUAUUAAGGCAUUUCUUGUUUUGUUUGACCCGUCUG